ensembl:lncRNA
AUGGCCAAAGGUUUUCAGCCUCUGAUCCAACUCCAUGCUACCUGGCUUUUUGGGUGCUCUGUGAGCUGUUUGCCAGCAAUUUUUGCUCACCCAUUUGGGCCAGUCUGCAGUUCAAAGGACUUUCUCUUUUAUUUCCUUACUUUCAGGAUCUUUCCUGUGGGUGAAGCAGAAGUCCACAGCCUGCUGGGAGCAGUACAGCUCUGUAGCAGGCAGAUUUUGGGGGUCCUGACAGCAGUGCCUCCAGUCAGUCUGGCCUGUAGACAUCUGCACCAUCUUUGCUGGUAUGAGGUGUGCACUCAUUGCACGUGCAUAGUGACAGACCUGGGUGUCCCUCCUUCAGCCUGUCCAGGAUCUCACAGGAAAACAUUGAUUGGAUGGAGAGCAUGUGGGUGCAGGAGCACCUGCAGGAACAAGUGGCAGGAGCAGCCACAGGGUGUGCAGCCAUGGAUGGCAUCUGCAUUAGCUGACUACAGGUUCCAGCUGCUUUCCAGACCACUUCAACCCCCAGGAUGGUGUCAAAUAUUCAACCGCCUAAAGCAGGAUAUACUGCAGCCAUUAAAAAUAGUCUUUGUAAGAUAAGACGUAAAACAUCCUGAUAAAAAGAGACAAAGAGCAAUGAGUAUUUCUUAAUGGUUCCCAGAAGAGAAGCAGAGAUGAAGAAAAUAGAGAGACAAGAGAUCACAAUCACCAUCAGCUCCUAAUAAGGACCAAAAGUCAAGACUCAAAAGCAGCACACAUUUCCUGAGGUAACAACACAGGAGCCAUCAUGAGACCUCAGAUGUGAGUGUCCCUUUAACUCUGCAUCAGUAUUCAGUGUCCUUGCACAGACUGCUUGCAUUUUGGUGCUUUCAUCCUGGACAGACUGCUCAGAUGCUCUCAGCUUGAAUAUUCUUAUGAAUAAGAGGCAAUUGGCUUAGUUUCAAAGUAAGUACUCCCUCUUCCCAUAGGGUCCCACAGCAAGCUUUGCUGUGUUGUUGCUAGAUGAGCUUUGGCUCUGAGAUUUCUGAUUUGCUUUUUUUGCCAUCUGCUGCUGUCACCUGGGGCUCCAGGAGGAAGGACAUUGCUGCUGCUGGUAACAGUCCCAGCCUUUACACUGAAACAGUGGAUGCUCAGCAUACCAAGACCCUGUUGUGGUGUGUUAUACAUGUUGCCAGCUCCUCAUGAGUGCCUGGUGUGUGAACUGGCCUGUGGUGCCAGGUGUCUCUUGUUAUUGAUGUGUGAUGUAAGCACGAUAGCAGCAGGGGCCUUGAGAGUUUUGGAACAGACCAGAAGCAAAGGAUCCAGGACUAUAAAUAACUUGCUGGCAGUGGGUUAGGUGUGCAGCCUCAAAAGCUGGGCAAAGCCUGUGUUAAGUAUUCCAAAGAAAAGCAGCAGCAGCUGAGCAAUGAGAAACACAUCUGAGCAACAGGGUCAGGGUCAGGCACCUGCUGCGGUGUGGGAAAUACCUGCCAGUGCUGCACAGGAAAGCAGGUGGAGGACAAGGGCUAAGAGCUGCCUAGAACCUCAGACACCUUGAAGAAGUGCCAGGAUGUGAUUCUGGGGGCCUCUGUGCCACAGCUGUGGGGCUGUGGGUAGCUUUGCUCCACACAGCUCUGCUCUCCUGGCAACCACAUGUACCUGAGGUUGGAAAGGAACUUUGGAGAUCAUCUGGUCCAAGCCCCCUGCUCAAGCAAGGCCACACAGAACCAAUCACCCAGAACAUGUCCAGAUGGUAUUUGAACGUCUCUAAGGAUAGCUAUUCUCAUCAUCUGCCUGGUUUCAAAAUACUUUUGAGCUGGCAAUAGCGGGUGCAUGGUGCCGUGAGUGUGUCUGAGCAUAGCUUUUUGCGCCCAUCUAAUGCUCCAGUUCUCAAUGGGUUUAAUGUGUAUGUGUCAAUGUGUCUAAUCAUGAUUUUGGGCAGUAUUAUAAUUAGCUGCUUUAAAGGUGGGCCAGUGGCAGUGGUUUAGGCAUGCUGAUUUUCAAAGCAGCUAAUAUUGGAGAAGUAGACUCUCAGGCAGAGAGCCACAUCAGCCAGUCACAGCCCUGCUGCUUGCAGUAGCCAAUACUGACUCUUAUAUUCAGCUGCCCUUUACAUGUUAAAUGCCCUCUCCACCUCUGCAAUCAAGAGGGCAUCUUGUCCACCAGGAAUUGUCACUGCAGAGAGAUCACAACUUGGAGGGCUUCUAAGUAGAUCUCUCUAAGAAAUCCCAGUUUCCAUUCCUGUUCUCUGUUGUCUGGGCAAUCCUUGUUACAUCAACAAGGUAUGCUGAGACCUUGUUUAUCCAGGAUUCUUGCUGAGAAGUACUACAUGGCUCCUGUAAAUUAGAGGUAACCAAAACACAGUCAAUUGCAGAUUGUGUUUUCUAGGGGUAUGAUGGUGAUUUAGAAUGAUUGUGACAGGGAAGGACCCCUUGCUCAAUCCUUUUACUCAAAGCCAGUGAAGAUCAGAAUUCACACUUUAUCAUCACUCAGGGAUUUGUUCAGUUGAAGUGGAAGCUGUAGUCUUCCUUCUAUUGUUUCAGAGACAUCCAACUUAUCCCCUUAGCUUUGUGAUCUCUCACAGAUCUCCUGCUUAGACCUAAAUUUGGAAAAACACCCAGGCCUGAUAAAUAUGUGAGGCAAAUUUCUAGCAGCUGGAUGAGAAAGCAAGUUUUAGAGAUACAGGCAGAAAGUCAGUGUUUUCCACCUGAAAUGAGCAAAACUUGGCCAUUCUGCAGAACAUCAGAUGUUAUCUACCUGAACUUGUGCAAAGAGUUUGACACUGUCUCACAUGACAUCUCUAGAAACCGGAGAGACAUGGAUGCCCCAGUCCUAGAAGUGUUCUGAGUCAGGCUCAGGAGGCGGCUCUGAGCAAACUGGUCUGGGGGAGGGUGUCCCUGCCCAUGGCAGGGGAAGUUAGAAUUAGAUAGUUUUUAAAGGUCCCUUUCAACCCCAGCCAUUCUGUUUCUGUGGCAUUCUGAGGCUGCCUCUGUGGACUUGUUUCAUCAACACAUCCUACCUUACCUGUGCCAUUGAUGUCCUUACACAGCCUUUUCACUUCCUUGUGCCAAGCACAUGCCCAGACACUGAUGAUUGAUGAGUGGAUGCAUUAAAUUCAUAAAGACCCCAGUGCCAGGGCUGACCAUACCACUGCCUCCUCUGUAAGAACACAUCAGAUCUGGUUGUACUACAGUCAGAAAGACAAAGAAAUUUGGACCACAAACAGAAGAAUGAUGUCUUUUCCCUUCCAGCCCCGGUCUCUUCUCUGGCACAUCUUACUCUUCCUUGGGCCCAUGUAUCUCUUACAGUAUUUCUGGAAAUUGAGAGAACAUGCUGCAGAGCCAUCUUCUCCCACAUUGCUGGAACACAUGCUGUUCUGGGGUGGUGUGACCUCAGACCCCAGACCCCCUUCAUGAGUGCUGCACUUCACUGUGAAGACUUGUCAGCACAUUUCCCUUAGAGGGGUUGCUAAAUCCACAUGGGAAAGAGAUACAGUAGCUAUGACUUUUAAUUUUGUUUCUGUUCCAGAUUGUGUUUUUGGAAAUAAAACUGAGGCAUUUGCUAGGUGGGGCGCUGCU